rnacentral:rRNA from 1 species
GAUGAACGCUGGCGGCGUGCCUAAUACAUGCAAGUCGAGCGAACAGACGAGGAGCUUGCUCCUCUGACGUUAGCGGCGGACGGGUGAGUAACACGUGGAUAACCUACCUAUAAGACUGGGAUAACUUCGGGAAACCGGAGCUAAUACCGGAUAAUAUAUUGAACCGCAUGGUUCAAUAGUGAAAGACGGUUUUGCUGUCACUUCUAGAUGGAUCCGCGCCGCAUUAGCUAGUUGGUAAGGUAACGGCUUACCAAGGCAACGAUGCGUAGCCGACCUGAGAGGGUGAUAGGCCACACUGGAACGGAGACACGGUCCAGACUCCUACGGGAGGCAGCAGUAGGGAAUCGUCCGCAAUGGGCGAAAGCCUGACGGAGCAACGCCGCGUGAGUGAUGAAGGUCUUCGGAUCGUAAAACUCUGUUAUUAGGGAAGAACAAAUGUGUAAGUAACUAUGCACGUCUUGACGGUACCUAAUCAGAAAGCCACGGCUAACUACGUG